rnacentral:rRNA from 1 species
GAUGAACGCUAGCGACAGGCUUAACACAUGCAAGUCGAGGGGCAUCACGGGUAGCAAUAUCUGGUGGCGACCGGCGAACGGGUGAGUAACGCGUAUGCAACCUACUUGUAAACGGGAGACAACCUGGAGAAAUUUGGGCUAAACUUCCAUGAGGCAUUAUUACUGCAUGGUAAUGAUGUCAAACGUAAGGUUUACAAAUGGGCAUGCGUAUGAUUAGCUAGUUGGUAGGGUAAUAGCCUACCAAGGCGACGAUCAUUAGGGGUUCUGAGAGGAAGGUCCCCCACAUUGGAACUGAGAUACGGUCCAAACUCCUACGGGGAGGCAGCAGUGAGGAAUAUUGGUCAAUGGACAGAAGUCUGAACCAGCCAAGUCGCGUGAAGGAAGAAGGUUUUCGGAUUGUAAACUUCUGUCCUUGGUGAAGAGAAGAAGACGGUAGCCAAGGAGGAAGCCCCGGCUAACUACGUGC